rnacentral:sRNA from 1 species
UCAGAAAUCUCACUGACGCGAUGGGCUA